rnacentral:lncRNA from 1 species
GGUGCUGACUCUAAGUGUCCUUAGUGUGUAACCUUGGGCAUGGCACUUAACCUCUCUGUAAACUGGAGUUGUUCCCCGAUAGCCCAGGCCUAUGAGCUGACACCCAGAGGAGGUAAAGAACUUGCUGUUCCUGCACAGUGAGGCAAUGGUGGCUAUCCUAGAUGAUGGGGUUACGCGGAGUCUCACCACAGGUGCUCAAGGCCUGACAGGCGGGAAAGACAGGACAUCCUCAUCAUGACAAAUGCUUAUUAUCAAG